rnacentral:lncRNA from 1 species
AGGUACAACAGAGACAGCUGUUUGUCCCCCAGUAUCCUUCAGACAAAGCCAUAUAUGAUUGAAGGUUAUCAGUACUGUGCUUUUGGAGGAUUCAGAAGAAGUUAUAUCUGAUUGGGAGAUUGAAAAGGAUUGGCCUGAAGGAGAGGUGGUUUUUGAACUGCAUCUUAAAGGAUGAGGAAACUGAGGCUGAGAGGGUAGAGAACUUUGCCUGAGGUCACUCAGCAGGGACCCACCCAUCACAGUAAAUGCCAGCACUGCUGAUGCCAAAACAAUGUUAUUUGUAGGCCCUCGGAAUUUGUGACCUGAAGGAAGAAGAGCAGGGCCGUGGGAAGUAUGUAACCAGUGUCAUGCCCCUGGUCCCAAGGAAGCAGUGGCUUGGUAAAGAGGGGACCCCCGUCAAUAACUCCCUGUAAUUACUGGGCACCCACUCUGAGCUCCUCAGUGGAAUCCUAAGGUUAAUAAGACUGUCUCUAGCCACUGGGGCUCCCAGCCUGGAGUGAGGUAAGAGGAGUGGAGCCGGCUGGGGAGGGAGACGAACACAUACACAGAAGAUUCAGACACACUUGCAAUGUAUUGCUGGGGAUUCUCCAGCAUUGGCAUGAUGGAGAGGGUGGAGAAUCAUUUGACCGCCUCCGCCUAGGAUUGCAGAGUUCAGCUGGCCAUCAUCCACCAGCCGGGGGACUGUGCACAUCAGUUAACCUCUCCUCUCAGGCCUUGAAAAGCACCAGGCUUAGUACACGUUUGUUAAAUGAAUGCACUGCAGUUUUUUUGCUUGUUAAAGGCAGGUAAUAAUAAUGAUAUUGCUGACUAAGGGCUCCCAUCCACUCCCAGUGAGCCCGGUGCCCCCCCGGGCCUCCUCAGUGAGCUGAGGAGGCUCAGCAGUGCCUGCACGUCCCCUCGCCACAAUGUCAUGUGCCACCUCUUCAAAGGAGGGAUGUACCAGCUAGUGGACGUGACCUUGACUGCAAAGGGCGGCACGCAGCUGAUGUAAUGGUCGCUUAAGUGUUCACAAAUGCCUGAACACCCUGUCCUACCUGGUCCUACCUGGAUGCUGGCCUCAGUAAGCUCCUGGGCUCAUUGAAGAUGAACCUAGCAGUAGUAUUUACACCACUUGUUGUGUGCCCACUGUGGGCCCGGCGCCAUGCCGAGUGCUCUAUGGAUGUGAGAUGAGAACACUGAAGCAGUUUUUUCUAAAGAUAGCUGCCUGGCACAGUGGCUCACAUCUGUAGUCCCAGCAUUUGGGGAGGCCAAGGCAGGUGGAUCACUUGAGGCCAGGAAUUCAAGACCAGCAUGGCCAACAUGUGCUGGGAGAGAAAAGCAUACGACAUAGACAGGGAGGUCAAGCUCCACCACGCAGAUGAGGUGCAGGCCACCAGUCUUCCUCUGCCACAUCUCUUUCUGAAAAGGACUUCACAUUCACCCUUGCAAUCCAUGUGGGGACACUGUUGGAUAGGAGGCGUGGUCCCAGCGUGGUCUCCCUGUCUGGGCCUCUGCCUAUGCCAAAUGUUUGCCUUACGCUGCACACUCAAGAGGUUCCAUGUAUACAGAUGGGAAUUCCAGAGCUACAGAAAAGGCAGCAAGCACCAUGAUUUAAGCUAACCAGUGUGGAUUCACACCUUCCUCUCUCUCUAUCAGUGGCAGAACUACCAGCUAGAGUAAGAAGUGGUUGAUCCAGGACCUAAACAUUCUGGAAACUCUUGCCCACUUCUGGGAGAAAUGACCCAAUCCAUAGUACUAAGCACACCUUAACUUUCGUAGGACGCAGGCAAGUUGUCAUACCGUGUGCCUAAAUAUAGAAAAAUGAUCCACUGGACUAAUAAAGUGUUAAAUAAAAUAUGUCCUGACUG